CAGAUAAUGACAUUUAUUGAAACAAAUGUACUAAGAAACAAAGACACUAAGACAACUUGGUAUAACACUGUGGCAUGAAACAAAACACCGAGACAUGAACGACAAGAGUCUAGGACAACGAAAGACAAGCAAACAGUGCAGACAAGGACUAUAUAUACACACACACACACAGAAGUGCUCAUUAACAAAACGUGAGUCAGGUGCAGGUGGUCAUGUGACAGCUAGUGCAGUGCAGUGGCUGAUGGGAAGUGGAGUUCAGAGUUUCUUGAUACGUGACAGAACCCUCCCCCAAGGGCGCUACUCCCGGAGCGCCCAAAAUUAUACGUCCUCCAUCUGGUGGUCCUGGCCCCCUGGGAAAAAUGUCCCCAGCAGAACCAGGGGGCACAGGGAGCGGCUUCCACAACGGCACAGGGAGGCUGAGAUACUUCCUCAGCUGAACAAGGAGGCUGAGCGACGUCCUCGGCUGAACAGGGAGGCUGAGCGACGUCCACGGCUGAACAGGGAGGCUGAGCGACGUCCACGGCUGAACAGGGAGGCUGAGCGACGUCCUCGGCGGAGCAUGAAAGCGGAGCGACGUCCUCGGCGGAGCAUGAAAGCGGAGCGACGUCCUCGGCGGAGCAUGCAGGCUGAGCGAGAUCCGUAAUAAGUGAGAGAGGGUGGGAGUGGGUCUCCGCCCUGACCACCGACUCCUCCUCCGGUCGGCGUGACAUGACGUAGUCCUUUAUGAACGCCGGGUGUGGCCUGGUGCAUGGUCUGUCCAGCUGCGGCAGGCCUAGCAUGCGGUUAUUCUGAGCAAGCAGUUCAUCUGUCCUUCUUCCUUGCUCCAGUAGUCCUAUAUACCACUCCGCAUAUGCUGCAAACCAGGCGUCCAUUGUGGUGAUCUGCUGCUUCUGAUAGUGGGUCUUUCGUUCUGUCACGAAUCGAGGUUGAGCCAGAAGCAAGUGCAGAUAAUGACAAUUAUUGAAACAAAUGUACUAAGAAACAAAGACACUAAGACAACUUGGUAUAACACUGUGGCAUGAAACAAAACACCGAGACAUGAACGACAAGAGUCUAGGACAACGAAAGACAAGCAAACAGUUCAGACAAGGACUAUAUAUACACACACACAAGUCCUCAUUAACAAAACGUGAGUCAGGUGCAGGUGGUCAUGUGACAGCUAGUGCAGUGCAGUGGCUCAUGGGAAGUGGAGUCCAGAGUUUCUUGAUACGUGACAUGUGUGUAUUAAUGAGUGUA
ensembl:lncRNA